AUUUGAGAUGCGAUGAGAGAUGCUGUUAUGGUUUUGUAAUUUGGUUGGUGUUGGUAUUCCACAACAGAACACCAUGCCUAAUAAUGGGAGUAAAGGGGACAAGUUUUUUUUCUGUGGACUGCCUUAAAUGUUCAUGUGGGGAGUGGCACUGGAGGGGAAUUGGGGAAGGGGACGGGGUUGCUGGCCCGGCUCCCUGCGAGGAGACUACGCGGUCGGAGCUUCCCGCCUUCCACAGCUCCAUCGGUUGAUCUUUUGGAUGAGCAGAUUUGCUAAAAGAGGUUGUAUGAGAUAACCUUCAGCGGAGCUGGGAACGGACAUGACUUUUGGGCCUCCUAUCAAAUUGCUUCUCUGCACAGCAUUGUUCCUGUGCCUGGUUGGCACCAGUGCUCCUCCUGCAGACCAGAGAGCAUGGAAUGGCUUCUUCCUGCAGCUCCCCCUCCCUUCUAGGCCCAUUCAGCAAGAACUGUUCUGCCUCUUCCUGGCAGAGCCACAGCUGGCCAGCUCAGCUGGGGGGCACCACCUUUGGGAUGCAAGAGUGCUGUGCCAAGGGCAGGUGCCGGGCAGCAGCCAUCAUCCAUUGCCCUAAACUAGUAACGCUUAGAGCCUUGCUGACAGAUGCUGAUACACACUACGGGUAAAUUCAGUGUGCAUGAAAGGACUCUUGUUCUUCUUCAGCAGAGAGCAUAAAGACAGAUUGUCAGACAAAUCAAUCUCUGAUAGCUCUCUUUUCAACAGCAUCGAGCUGUUAUUUUUCCUGGGCUUUGCCAGAACAUCUGAUUUAUCUGCUGUUCCCCUAAACAGACAGAUUUGCUGGUUUGGAUGAUACAGGAUCUUUUGUCAGGAAGAAAGAGGCCCUGACCAGCCUUUUGCUGUUGCUGUGUAUGUCCUUGCUUAGCUCCAGAGCUCUGGGUAGAGGUGGAAGGAAGGUGUACCUGUGAUGACUAAGUUUGUUUUUUUCUCUUGUAGCUCUAUGGAGUUGUAAAGGCAUCCACUCCUCCUGGGUAUGUGUAAAUUAGAUUGCCAAAACAAUUCAGAGAGAGUCUCCCACAGGGACAAAUGGCAGGUAGGGCUGUUUGCCAAACACUGCCACGAUCUGACAGAAUGAGCCCUACAGCCCAUCUGUAGUGAGCUCCAACUUGUUUCUUCCUAACUAUGCAUUUGACUACUCACUCCCUAAGCCAUCUUGGAGAUAACCAAGGUCAGGCUGGACAGAACUGUGAGCAGACUGAUCACCUACAGGUGUCCCCGUUCAUUGCUGGGGUGUUAGACUAGAUAACCUUACAGGGUCCCUUCCAACUCAAACAAUUCUAUGGUGAGUACCAGGAUGGAAGGGCUGAAGUCCCAUUCUGUGCUUUGGAGACCAGCUCUCUGUGUAUGCAGGGAGAGCGCUAGAGGAGUUAGUCGAUAUUUGCAUAUAGUGACUUCAAUACACACAGUGUUACAAGUGUACAAGGAGAUUAACAAAGACUUAAAGUAAUACACUCAGUUGAAAUAAUUUGCAGUGCUGUUAAACACACGUGGAUUGAUUUGGACUUACUGAAGAGCAGUUUCUGAGCCUGGAAUUACAUAGUUUGGGCAUGGCUGAGAUUGUAAACAUGGGAGCAGGCAACUUGUGCUCCAGACCCCUCACAGCUUUGCUGCCCUUCUCUGGACACGCUCCAGGGCCUCAAUGUCCUCCUUGCAGUGAGGGUCCCAACACUGAACACAGCACUCGGGGUGCGGCCUCACCAGAGCUGAGUACAGUGGGUGAGGUUCAGAUCCUGGUGAGGAUUUGGGGUGUGACCUGUGCCAACCUGUGCCUUGUUAAUGUCCCCACUCCAAGGCAGCAUACCUCUGUUCCUAACAGCCUGUGUGCAUGACUAAUGGUGUAGAUCCAAGUGAAGUAGGCGUUCUCUUUAAAGGCGACAUAUGAUAUUGUAGUUGGACAAAGAGGAAUUUCCUGUGUAAUCUCUGGAGACAGCUGUAUUACAUUUUUAUGAUCGCUCUGAUAUUUAUGCAGAGUUAUUGAAAUACGGUUAAAAGGCUUAAA